UAAUACAUUAAUAAUGUCUUAAUACUAACAACAACAACAACAACAAUAAUAAUAACUAAAACUAUCAAUUUGAGUUUUAUUAAUCUUAAUAACUAAACUAAAACAAAAAAUAUUACAAAAUAUACAAAACAAUAACAACAAUAUAAUCAAUUAUUUUUUAAAAAAUACCUUCUUUUUCUCUCUUUUUCUCUUCUUUUCCACAGCACCUCUUCUUCUUCUUCUUUUUCUUUUGAUUUUUCUCCCUUCAGCUGGACAGAGCUCGUGUUUAUAACACGAGUAGUGCUGCCAAUGGCUUUGGCUUUGGCCUGACCAAGGUGCUGUCAAUUUGGUGCAGGCUUUUUGUAGGUUUUUUUUUGGUAUAUUUUGGUAAAUAAAAAAAAUUAUAAUAUUU
rnacentral:lncRNA from 1 species